AAAUUGAAGAGUUUGAUCAUGGCUCAGAUUGAACGCUGGCGGCAGGCCUAACACAUGCAAGUCGAACGGUAGCACAGAGAGCUUGCUCUCGGGUGACGAGUGGCGGACGGGUGAGUAAUGUCUGGGAAACUGCCUGAUGGAGGGGGAUAACUACUGGAAACGGUAGCUAAUACCGCAUAACGUCGCAAGACCAAAGAGGGGGACCUUCGGGCCUCUUGCCAUCAGAUGUGCCCAGAUGGGAUUAGCUAGUAGGUGGGGUAACGGCUCACCUAGGCGACGAUCCCUAGCUGGUCUGAGAGGAUGACCAGCCACACUGGAACUGAGACACGGUCCAGACUCCUACGGGAGGCAGCAGUGGGGAAUAUUGCACAAUGGGCGCAAGCCUGAUGCAGCCAUGCCGCGUGUAUGAAGAAGGCCUUCGGGUUGUAAAGUACUUUCAGCGGGGAGGAAGGUGUUGUGGUUAAUAACCACAGCAAUUGACGUUACCCGCAGAAGAAGCACCGGCUAACUCCGUGCCAGCAGCCGCGGUAAUACGGAGGGUGCAAGCGUUAAUCGGAAUUACUGGGCGUAAAGCGCACGCAGGCGGUCUGUCAAGUCGGAUGUGAAAUCCCCGGGCUCAACCUGGGAACUGCAUUCGAAACUGGCAGGCUAGAGUCUUGUAGAGGGGGGUAGAAUUCCAGGUGUAGCGGUGAAAUGCGUAGAGAUCUGGAGGAAUACCGGUGGCGAAGGCGGCCCCCUGGACAAAGACUGACGCUCAGGUGCGAAAGCGUGGGGAGCAAACAGGAUUAGAUACCCUGGUAGUCCACGCCGUAAACGAUGUCGACUUGGAGGUUGUGCCCUUGAGGCGUGGCUUCCGGAGCUAACGCGUUAAGUCGACCGCCUGGGGAGUACGGCCGCAAGGUUAAAACUCAAAUGAAUUGACGGGGGCCCGCACAAGCGGUGGAGCAUGUGGUUUAAUUCGAUGCAACGCGAAGAACCUUACCUACUCUUGACAUCCAGAGAACUUAGCAGAGAUGCUUUGGUGCCUUCGGGAACUCUGAGACAGGUGCUGCAUGGCUGUCGUCAGCUCGUGUUGUGAAAUGUUGGGUUAAGUCCCGCAACGAGCGCAACCCUUAUCCUUUGUUGCCAGCGGUCCGGCCGGGAACUCAAAGGAGACUGCCAGUGAUAAACUGGAGGAAGGUGGGGAUGACGUCAAGUCAUCAUGGCCCUUACGAGUAGGGCUACACACGUGCUACAAUGGCGCAUACAAAGAGAAGCGACCUCGCGAGAGCAAGCGGACCUCAUAAAGUGCGUCGUAGUCCGGAUUGGAGUCUGCAACUCGACUCCAUGAAGUCGGAAUCGCUAGUAAUCGUAGAUCAGAAUGCUACGGUGAAUACGUUCCCGGGCCUUGUACACACCGCCCGUCACACCAUGGGAGUGGGUUGCAAAAGAAGUAGGUAGCUUAACCUUCGGGAGGGCGCUUACCACUUUGUGAUUCAUGACUGGGGUGAAGUCGUAACAAGGUAACCGUAGGGGAACCUGCGGUUGGAUCACCUCCUUACCUUAAAGAA
rnacentral:rRNA from 1 species